GUAAAGAACAAGUGGCACGUUCCAGUGACUAUCUCGAUGGGCAAUUGACCUUUCGCGAGCGUCUGCUGGUGCGUCAUCACUUGAUGUUCUGCCCUAACUGCCGACGGUUUAUCCGCCAGAUGCGCCUGAUGCAGGCGACGUUGCGGAUUCUGCCGCAGGAGCCGGUAAAGGAUCUGGAUGCCUUGGCGCAGCAACUGGCUGCCGAGCGGCUCAAGGGGCAAUAGGGCAGCUUCAAGCUGCA
rnacentral:sRNA from 1 species